GAAUAACAUGACCUAAAUCAGAAUAUCAUGCGCUGAAUAAAAAUACUAAUUCUAACCAGUGGUUGAACUUUUGAGGCGUUAAUGAUCUACAUUUUUAGAAGUACAAUUUUUUUUAAUUUUGUAUAGAGACUAGAAAGAUUCAACCAAAUGGAAAUUUGAAGUCCCAAAAUUUUGUGUACACAAAGAUAAUCACAUAACAGAACUUGC
rnacentral:misc_RNA from 1 species